rfam:Bombyx mori DNA, contig: Bm_scaf54_contig27326, strain: p50T/Dazao, build 2, whole genome shotgun sequence.
UCAAUUCAAUUUUAUAUGCAGUUGGAACGUUUGCCUACGUUUGCCGCUAGGGGCGCUGUUCCAACUGCAUAUAAAUUUAAGUUA